rnacentral:RNase_P_RNA from 1 species
UGAGUAAGCCGGAUGGCCGCGGCGGGUGUUUUGCCCGACGAGGAAAGUCCGGGCUGCAUAGGGCAAGGGUGCCGGGUAACUCCCGGUAGAGGCGACUCUAAGGACAGUGCAACAGAAAUAGACUACUGCAUAUAUGUGCAGUACAGGUGGAAAGGUGAGGUAAAAGCUCACCGGCGGUAAGGCGACUUAUCGGCCAUGCAAACCCCACUCGCAGCAACACCGACAGGGGCGCCUGCCCGGCAUAUGCCCCGAAGGGUGGCUUGAGCAAUGCAGAAAUGCAUUGCCUAGAUAGAUGGUCAUCUGAUACAGAACCCGGCUUACAGGCUUGCUCAUACC